rnacentral:lncRNA from 1 species
AGAGGUUUGGGGGAUCAAGUAGUGGUACCUUAGAAUAUUUUGGUAGAAAUAAGGAACAUAAUGGGAUUGGUUAGUUGCUUCCAAGUAAAAUAGAGAACUUAGGGAAAGAAAACAGUGAAGUCGGGGCUUUGAAUUCCCAGCUCAAGGUCUGCAUAAGGGAGCAGAAUGCUUCAAUGAGUACCUUUUUUUCUCCUGUAGACAUAGGGCCAAGAUUUCUGAAAAACAAAUUCAAAGUCUGAUCUUUCUGGUGGCUAGAUUACAAGGCAAAUUGAAUUCAUGUUGAACUUGGUACACUGACUAAGAGUGAGACUCUCUCUAACAAUUAAAAGGGGACAUAUGGACAAAUUCCAGUGAAGCUGGAGACCAUGAAUCUCUAAAUUCUUCAGAGCCCCUUUUGCAGAUGGAAACCCUUUCUCCAAGAUUAAACUUCCUGCACACUUCCGACAACUUGAUUGAACUGGACGCCCUUGGAAGUUCAUGGCAUCGCCUAUAACAGAGUCUGUGUAGGCAAAACCCCAGCCUAUGCUGGAAUUUAACUCUUAAAAAGCAACCUAAGUAGAACACAAGAUUGUAAACUCUAAGGAGAUUCUAACACCAAAAGAAAGUAUGACUUGAGCCAAUGAAAUGCCAAAAUCCAGUUCUAGCUGACAACGUCAGUAGUGGAGGACAGACUUCCACUUGCCAUUUGAGGAAAAAGCAUGUGGAUUCAUGAGCAUAACAGCAGAUACCCCACUACCAAUUACCAAAUCCUGUGCACAUUCCUGUUCUCCAGUCACCUUUUCUCCAUAAAUGUUUGUGGUAUAAAAUGAAAACCUUCCCAAAUAUUAACCAGUCAACCUUUAUUCUCU